UCGCCGUUGAGAAGCCGUCGCCACCAAAUCCGCUGCUGUCGAAGCUUAUGGCCGAGCCUCUGCCGCUGGAUCUCCACACUGCUGCUGCUGCCGCCGAAAACUGCCACUGAAGCCUGUGUCGUUUGGAACUUAUCGCGAGUUACCGCCGCUGGAGCCACCACCGGAGCUACUGCCGUUCAGUUCAGCUGUUCUUCCUUCUUACAAUAGGGUCGCCCUCUGUAUGUUGCAUAUCGCUUUUAAGUUGCUGUGAUUGCUGCGAAAGUGAUUAUGGAUUGAGGUUUCGGUUGCCAUCGGUUUCGGGCUGAGAGAAAAGAGUUCCGUUGACGCGUUUGGUUUAUGAUUUUGACUUGUCGAGGUAGGGACUUUUUAUAAAAACUAAUUUACUUUAAAUUGGAGAUUUUUUAUUGGUUUGGUUUUGAAAUGAUUUUAAUACUUGAAAGUCUAAAUUUUGUUUUAUUGGAAAUUGAUUUGGUUUUGAACCCGUUAAAAAGGGUUGAUGAUUGGUUUGGUUGGGAUCCGAAAAGGGUGGCAAAGUCCAAGUUUUAGGGGAGGUGUUGCCGAAUUUUCUAUAAAAUCUGAAACUUUGU